GGAGCUUCCGCCUCAUGAGGACAAUGUCUGCACCAUCUAGUAUGAACGAGGUGAGGCCGUGGAGUCCAACACAGGUCAGCGUCUCGCAGCGAGUUUCUGACCUCGAGGACACCCUCGCCUCCUCAGCCUCCCUUGAUGGCUCGCAGAACUCUGAUGGGCCCGAGGUGCUGGGGCUGACCGCUGAAUUUGACAGGAUUAUAUCACAGAUGGAGGAGCUGCGUGCGAUUUUGGACGUGGGGGUCGCAGAGUCUGCCGCCGGCUUCAUUUAAUUAAUUUAUUUGGAAUUUGGCCAUGCGCCGAUUAUUCCCACAUCCCUACUUCUAUAUUUAUCAGGCUUUGAUGCUUGUAAUGUACGACUAAAUUUGCUUGAUAUUUUCACGUUUUAACAUUUGUAUAUUUCUUGUACAAAAUAUAGGGUCAAAUAAAGGAAUACUUUGAUACUUAGUUCGAUUGUUCCCUUUGAUAUUUUUAUGAUCCAUUUUUGGGAUGUUCAUAAUAAGGUGCUAAAUUGGUUAAGGUCUGGAAUAAGCGGAUUUUUACUUGAAUAAUGUUAUAACUUAUAUAUACCCCGAGCGUUACUUUGUUCAUUACUGUGAGUAUACUCUUAAAAUGAAUAAAAUGCAUCUAGAUAUCGAUUCAUCGGAUUCAGCUACAAUAAUGUACAUGAAAUAAUUUAGAUUACCAUUAGUCUCAACAGCAUAGAACAUUAUGAUGUUAAGAACUGCUACAAACGACGCGACUUCCUCAUACGAUAACGUAUACCGAAAGAGACCCCUGUAGUGAUAGGAAUUUAAUUUAUCAAGAGGAAGCGCUCCCAUUCAAGUCCCGUAAAUCUGAAGCCUCUCGCGUGUUGUGCCUUUUUAGUAUGGAAAUGCUGGCGUUGUUUGGGGACAUGGGAGUGGUGGGAAUUGGUAUGUCAGGUCCGUAGGGAUUAAUUUGCUCAUAAUUUUACCCCAAGUAGGGAGUGCUACUGGGGAUUCGAGUCAAGGGAUACGUAAUUGCUUUGUGUUGAGAAUGCGGGAAAUGCCCUUGGGGUUCACGCGUUGUUGAUUUUCGCCAGUUUUGUCCAUUUUUGCUUACGUCUGCGUCUACUUUCCACGUUGUACAUCAUUGUUCAUCACAGUUUGUGUGAAAUAAUUUUCUGCUUCUUGUGAUACAAUGUGGCAUAUGGCGACCACUACAUUUAUUUGAUGACUUACGCUGGAACUAAAUAGGAGAAAAAACGGAAACAACUGCUGUUUUUCUGUGGGAAAGCAUUUUUGUAAAUAAAAAUGAAGUUAAAAAUUCGAGGCAGUAAUUUGAUGUCUAUUAUGAUCAGAUAUACAUCCGAAAUUAUUUAUUGUGCAAUUGCUUUAUCGCACAACAGAUGGAUUUUGAUUCAACAGUAAAACCUCGUCAUUUAAUGCAAAAAAAAUCACAUUACAAAACGGGCUUGAAAGUCAUUUUUAAUGCGAACAUUAUUGAAUCAAAUUAAUGGCAUUCAUAAGUUGUCGGCAGAAUGACCAAUUUGUUGUCUCUUCAGGUGUGUGUUUGCGGGUCAUUCGAAAAUAAAAUUGGUUCCUGUGCAAUG
rnacentral:lncRNA from 1 species